rnacentral:rRNA from 1 species
CACUUAUGAGAAGCCUUUGCAGUCCCGCAAGGGAUGCUGGCCGCGACUGUAAAAAAGAAUGCUGGUAUUAAAUUGCAAGUCAGUAAUCAAGCUGGCAACACUUUCGAAUUGCGGGGAUACCCUAAAGUCCACUCUACCAACCUAGCGAGGAAACUCAGUUAGGGGCCUGUGCUAACUACACAGGGUACGGUAAGAAGGAGCUGGAAUAUAUGGGUGAUCCGCAGCCAAGUCCCUAAGGCAUUAUUGCUAUGGGAAAGGUUCACAGACUAAGUGGAAGUGGGUUGAACAAUGGUUCAGCUUAAGAUAUAGUCGGGCCUUGUGAGAAAUCGCGAGGGAAGUCACUCGAGAGAAAAAUCAAUCUUUUCUCUUUCUUCUUGCUGUUCCGUAGGUGAACCUGCGGAAGGAUCAUUACCAAAAACAAGCUCUUUGCUUGGGGCAACCCAGCAAAGUUCUAAACCCUCUGUGUACCAAACCAUACUGCUUCGGCAGCGGGGCUCGCCCGUAAGCCUGCCGACGGCAAUCGCAAAACUCUUUUUGAACUUUGACCUCUGUCUGAUACAAAAUUUUGAAUUAAAUCAAAACUUUCAACAACGGAUCUCUUGGUUCUCGCAUCGAUGAAGAACGCAGCGAAACGCGAUAGUUAAUGUGAAUUGCAGAAUUCAGUGAAUCAUCGAGUCUUUGAACGCACAUUGCGCCCAUUGGUAUUCCGAUGGGCAUGUCUGUUUGAGCGUCAUUACAACACUCGACCUGCGCCUUUGGUGCUGAGUCGGUCUUGGGUUGGGUGCGUUGGGAAACCGGCGUCUCACCUUAAAGUUGCACGCUCUGCGGGUGCUUGGCCUGAACGAACAUAGUAACUAGCUUUCUUGUUCCUGAACGGCGCAAUGCAUUCCGCCUGAACAACAAACCAAAUUUCUCAGGUUUGACCUCAGAUCAGACAAGGAUACCCGCUGAA